rnacentral:rRNA from 1 species
GUGGGGAAUAUUGGGCAAUGGGCGAAAGCCUGACCCAGCAACGCCGCGUGAGGGAAGAAGGCCUUCGGGUUGUAAACCUCUGUCCUUGGUGACGAAAAAAAUGACGGUAGCCAAGGAGGAAGCCCCGGCUAACUACGUGCCAGCAGCCGCGGUAAUACGUAGGGGGCGAGCGUUGUCCGGAAUUACUGGGCGUAAAGGGUGCGUAGGUGGCCUUUUAAGUUGGAUGUGAAAUCCCCGGGCUUAACUUGGGUGGUGCAUCUAAUACUGGAGGGCUAGAGUGCAGGAGAGGGAAGCGGAAUUCCUAGUGUAGCGGUGAAAUGCGUAGAUAUUAGGAGGAACACCAGUGGCGAAGGCGGCUUUCUGGACUGUAACUGACACUGAGGCACGAAAGCGUGGGGAGCAAACAGGAUUAGAUACCCUGGUAGUCC